rnacentral:rRNA from 1 species
UUAUGGCUUGCUGUUAGGAACAAUGUGCUUACUAAUGACAAUUUGAAUAAAAGAGGUUGGAAUGGAGAUCCUAAAUGUGUUGUCUGUGGAGCUAAUGAGACAACUGAUCAUUUGUUCAUGCGUUGGUUUGUAUCUAAAUUUCUUUGGAGUGUUUUGCAAUGUAGUUUUGGUAUAAACUCUGCACCCAUUGAUGUUAAAAGCCUUUUCACUACUUGGUUAUCUCCUUUUGAUAAGGGUAGACAUAGGCAAUUAUGUGUGGGUAUAUAUGGAUUGAUGUGGUCUAUUUAG